AAGUCGUAACAAGGUUUCCGUAGGUGAACCUGCGGAAGGAUCAUUAACACGUAUCCAACGUUCAGUGCGCUCGCACUUUCUUAGAAAAGGUAGCAAUCCCUGGUAAAUCAUUGCCGAACAGUUUUGAUUCAGGGACUUCUAGACUGUGCUUGAGCGUGAGGCAAGUGGCCUGGCAUUCCUCUGCUUGUUGGUGUCUGAAAGUGUCACCAGCUCUGUACGAAUGGCGCAGUCACGAUCGCUAGAGGCCGACACGGCCGGCGACCGGGUCACUGGGCGCGAGCCCCCCUCGUCACCUUUGCAUGAAAACGGGCCUGCGCUUAAUUGUGCGGCCACCAAACUCGAACAACUGUUAACAAUGGAUAUCUUGGUUCUC
rnacentral:misc_RNA from 1 species